AGAGUUUGAUCCUGGCUCAGGAUGAACGUUGGCGGCGUGCCUAAUACAUGCAAGUCGAACGUGAGCCCUAGUUUCGACUGGGGUGAAAGUGGCGAACGGGUGAGGAACACAUGGCCGACCUGCCCCUCAGAGGGGGAUAACCACUGGAAACGGUGGCUAAUACCCCAUACGCUCACACUGGUUAGAGGCGGUGUGAGGAAAGCAUUGUGCUGAGGGAGGGGGCUGUGGCCCAUCAGCUAGUUGGUAGGGUAAUGGCCUACCAAGGCGAUGACGGGUAGGGGGCCUGAGAGGGUGACCCCCCACACGGGCACUGAGACACGGGCCCGACUCCUACGGGAGGCAGCAGUAAGGGAUAUUGCGACAAUGGGCGAAAGCCUGACGCAGCAACGCCGCGUGCGGGAUGACGGCCUUCGGGUUGUAAACCGCUUUUCUGGGGGAAGAGGAAGGACGGUACCCCAGGAAUAAGUCUCGGCUAACUACGUGCCAGCAGCCGCGGUAAAACGUAGGAGGCGAACGUUAUCCGGAUUUACUGGGUGUAAAGCGCGUGCAGGCGGUUUUGUAAGUCGUGUGUGAAAGCGCUCAGGCUCAACCGGGCGAGGACAUGCGAGACUGCGAGACUGGAGGGAGGUAGAGGCGUGUGGAAUUCCGGGUGUAGUGGUGAAAUGCUUAGAGAUCCGGAGGAACACCAGUGGCGAAGGCGACACGCUGGGCCUUUUCUGACGCUAAGACGCGAAAGCAUGGGGAGCGAACGGGAUUAGAAACCCCGGUAGUCCAUGCCGUAAACGAUGCCGACUAGGUGUGGGCGCGCAAGCGUCCGUGCCGAAGCCAACGUGAUAAGUCGGCCACCUGGGGAGUACGGCCGCAAGGUUAAAACUCAAAGGAAUUGACGGGGGCCCGCACAAGCAGCGGAGCGUGUGGUUUAAUUCGAGGCUACACGAAGAACCUUACCUGGGCUUGACAUGGCGGUGGUAGGGAACCGAAAGGGGACCGACCUUCGGGAGCCGUCACAGGUGCUGCAUGGCUGUCGUCAGCUCGUGUCGUGAGAUGUCCGGUUAAGUCCGGUAACGAGCGCAACCCUCGCCGUUAGUUACAUGUGUCUAACGGGACUGCCCGUUGAACGCGGGAGGAAGGUGGGGAUGACGUCAAGUCAGCAUGGCCUUUAUGUCCAGGGCUACACACACGCUACAAUGGCCAGUACAAUGGGUCGCCAACCCGCGAGGGG
rnacentral:rRNA from 1 species